rnacentral:rRNA from 1 species
GACAGAGGGUGCAAACGUUGCUCGGAAUUACUGGGCGUAAAGCGCGUGUAGGCGGUCACGCAAGUCAGGUGUGAAAGCCCAGGGCUCAACCCUGGAAGUGCACAUGAUACUACGUGGCUGGAGUACUGAAGAGGAGAGCGGAAUUCCCGGUGUAGAGGUGAAAUUCGUAGAUAUCGGGAGGAACACCAGUGGCGAAGGCGGCUCUCUGGGCAGAUACUGACGCUGAGACGCGAAAGCGUGGGUAGCAAACAGG